rnacentral:rRNA from 1 species
UACGUAGGGGGCAAGCGUUGUCCGGAUUUAUUGGGCGUAAAGAGCGUGUAGGCGGUUUGGUAGGUCCGUUGGGAAAACUCGAGGCUCAACCUCGAGACGCCGAUGGAAACCAUCAGACUAGAGUCCGGAAGAGGAGAGUGGAAUUCCUGGUGUAGCGGUGAAAUGCGCAGAUAUCAGGAAGAACACCCGUGGCUAAGGCGGCCCUCUAGUACGGUACUGACGCUGAGACGCGAAAGCGUGGGGAGCGAACAGG